GUUUCUACGAAGAGCUGCUGGUGCCAUGCGAGUCCCCAGGUCGCACAGGACGGCAUAAGCAGGUCAGAAGUGGUGUCCUUCUCUGUCACCCUCCAAUUUAUUCCCUUGAAGCAGUCUCUCACCGAGUCUAGAGAGAGCCCCAGUGAUCUUCCUUUCUCUACAUCAACAGCCGUGGCAUUAUGGAGGCAGGGUGUGGACAGGCCAACAGGCCAGCAGGAAGAUGGAGACUGGUUCUUUCCCUAAGGAUCCAUCCCGUGGCCGAGUCUGAAAUGAAGAGAUGAUCCAUCUGCCAGAGAUCGCCACUCCAGGCACAGCAAGGGACAGAGGGCUCAGAAGGGAUUGUUGGCCAGAAAUUUUGGGCACCUGUCACAUAGUCACUCACCUUUGAUUUUGGUUACAACUCUAGUAGCAAAGAGACCUCCCCAGAGACCGCCUGGCCACGUUCCUUUUCCGCUCUGAUUCUGAGGAAGCCGGACAGAACACUGCCCAUACUUACCCUUGACUGACGGAAUGAAGAUGAAGGGUGUCUGUGGUCCCCCUCAGCUUCCUCAAACGACCAUCUUGAGCAUUUUGGAGCUGCCAUUCAUACCUGAACCAGAGGAGAGGGCUAAGAGGGUCAACAGCCAAGAAAAAACUGGAAUAAUGGAGGAGGCUGUGCGUGGCUCUGAAACCGAGUGGACACUUUACCUUCGUGAACGUGCAUUACAAUAAGAAAGCAGUGGGGUCUUAUACUUUGAAAUCAAAAGUUAAUAGAUAAAAUGUUUAUGUCUUUAUUCUCAAGAUAACCUGUUCAAGAUAGUGUCAGAAUGAUUUAGGAAGAAAAAGAAUAUGUAUUUGAGAAGAGAUCCUUUUCAUCCAAGUGGUAACUUCAAAAUUCUUAAAUUUGUAGGGGAAAAAUAUUCUAAGAAGAAAAGAAACUUGUGUAUUUGGCAAAAUGUGGUUAACUCCUACCCAGAUAUUUAAAGACAUUCCUAAUUUCAUCUUUAAAUUUUGGGACUGGAGAGACAGCUCAGCAGUUAAGAGCACUUGCUGCUCUUGUAGAAGACCCAGGUUCAGUUCCCAGAACCCACAUCAGAUGGCUCACAACUACCUGUAACUUGGCCCCAGGGUAUCUGAUUCCCUCUUCUGGUCUCUGUAGGUACUGCACGCGCGCGCGCGCACACACACACACACACACACACACACACACACACACACACCUUUUUAAAGAAAUGAUUAUUUCCAAGUAUCAGGCAAAUGUUAUUUAAUACAUGGAGUCAAUUGGUUGUAUAGUUGAGAACAUGGGGUUUGUUCUCAGAGAGAACAGUGAUUUUUUUUUUUUAAGAGCUCCUCGUGUCCCUUUAGUUACAAAUGAGCCCCAAGCCCUUGCUAGGACAUGAGUUUUGCUCUAUAGACAUUAAAACAGCUCAAAUAAAAAGUGGUAAAAAUACCAAAUGCUAUCAAAGAUUUGGCUAUUUGGAAAAAUAGUGCUUAUACAUUAUUUGUGGAGAUGUAAAUCGGCACCAUCCCUCUGGAAAAUGAUUUGGCACCAUCAUCAAAAACCAAACACACACUUUGCCAUGUGGCUCAGAAAUUUCAUUUCCAGAGAAAUCAAAACCUCAGCAAUACAGAAUUCAUAUGAUCAUAGCAGAUGUAUGUGUAAAGGCUCCAAAUGAGAAGCAACCAAGUGCCUCACCACGGAGGAGUAAACAGGCAGCAGCCGUUUGUCAACUGCAAUCUCACCCAAUAAAAAGAAAUCAAAUACUAA